rnacentral:lncRNA from 1 species
CGAUAUUUCUGAAUCUCAACUCUUCAGUAAUAAGAACUGGACUGUGUUUGCUUGGCCUCUACUUCCUGUUCGUGGGGAAACUCCUCUGCGGAGGUGCUGUGAGAAAGAUUGCUAGAUUGGGGAGAGGGUUUCUAGAUGCCAAGGUAAGAAGUUCAAGGGAGUCUACCGAAUUGCCAUUAGAAGAAUGGUAUUUAUUAAGUACUAGUUUUCCUAAUCCUGAAGAUUUGUUUUCACCAUACUUGGAAAGACAUUAAGCAUAAGAGGUCGUGUAGGGGAAAGACAUUAAGCAUAAGACAUCAUGUAGGGGAGAAGAACUGAGGAGAUACAUUACAGACUUUGAAGUUAAUGUUAGGGCAGGGAAGAAGCUGUACACUAAAUGAAAAUGGACAUGCAGUAACCAAGGUCAAAGCAAGAACACAAGAGUUUCUACCUUGUUCAUUCUUUAGGUUUGCAUCUUAUUUCCCUCCUUACCUCACAUGUAUCUUCAAAUCUAGGCUUUCUAUAAGAUACUAAUGGACAUUUAUAGAAGUCACAGAGGCCACUUAUAGGAGGCAUGUGGACCACUAACUAGAACAGUUGAGCUGAGGAAUGUAUCGGAAACCAUCGUCAUUUUCUGUCCCCUCCUGUCUUAGGCUGGCCGGUUCCCUGAUGUGUUACCUGAUUCUGCCACUGUUGCAAACUGCAGAACUUCUUUCAUCCCCAAGGCCUCCAGGCAGUAUCCAAUGGGCAAUCAGCUCUAAAUGGAAACCAGAACAACGUUUUCCAGCCCCUUCAUUCUGAUGACUGAUGGAAGGAACAAAGAGUGGGAGGAGGGAUAUACUUGCCUAGUGGAUGGAAAACA